rnacentral:lncRNA from 10 species
UUGAGACGGAGUCUCGCUCUGUUGCCCAAGCUGGAGUGCAGUGGCGCGAUCUCGGCUCACUACAAGCUGUGCCUCCCGGGUUCACACAAUUCUCCUGCCUCAGCCUCCCCAGCAGAUGGGACUACAGAUGCCCACCAUCACGCCCAGGAUAGCACCAUCCUCAGACAAAAAUCAUAGAAUCAGAUGGCAGCAAAUAUGGCGGAGUAGAGAACACCAAUGGUCUAACCCUCCAAAAAGCAACAAAUACACUGGCAAAUACUGUCAGAACCAACCUUCUCGAAACUCCCGAAACUAAUGGAAAGCUUACAGCAAUCAGAUGACCAGUGGCCUUGAAGACAUCAGCCCACACUCCUGGUAGACAUACUCAGUACCAGAGGGAACUGAAUAGGCCUUAUUCUUUAAUAAAAAGAAAAAAAAAAUUGGGGUUGUUUGUUAUGACUUAUUUGGUGAUUUCCUGGAGGACAAGCUCAAAGGGACUGCCUUUCUCUUGCUUGACUUAGAACUCUCCCUGUGCUGAGGGGGCUAUUUGGGAAACUUCAACAAAAAUAUGUAAAGCAAAUGUUAGUCAGUGCUGCCUGGGGCAAGGGAUAUUGGGGGAAAACAACAGACUAACCAAAAAACUUGGGAGGAAAGUCUGGUGAAUGUGAUGCUCUGGUGAAUAAAGCUUUGAAAAGCACCCACAUAUUUCUGGAAAUCUAAAAGGUCAUACACAUGGCUACAAGUCUAAAAUGUUAAGGAAGUUUAGAUUCUAGCAUCACUGCUUAGAGGAGAUUACCCCCAGGAGAGCUGCCUCAACAGGAACAUCUACAAACUAUGUUUUAAGAACAAGACAUACAUUUUUAUCAUAUUAAGCCACUAAGACUUUGGAAUUAUUUGUUAUAGAGGCUGGCACUAAUUAUGUGAAUAAUACAGACUUGAAGGAAUCUAAAAGACGUGUAUGCCAUUUUGCUGGAAAAU